GCUAAAUAUAGGCGUUGGCGAUGCUGAAUAUGGUAGUGGGCGAUGCUAAAUAUAGGCGUUGGCGAUGAUGAAUAUGGGAGUGGGCGAUGCUGAUUAUGGGACUGGGUGAUGAUGGACAUUGGCGAUUACAAUGUGUUCUGAUGAAAUUAGAUAUAAGUGAGGGAGAUUUCCGCGGCAUUAGCAUCACUCUCUCACAAUUGCAGUUGACGACCAGUGUGCUCUACAUACCACACACUCACAGAACGUUUCGAUGUGUUUGCUAGGUGACGCCUGCUGGCUCUGGUAGUCCAACUCAUUGACUUAAGCGCCAUGCAGCCGAUUGUAUAGAUUCAAACAUGUACAACACUCACAUUCGUAACAGAGCAAAAUUCUAAAACAUUAACAGUUUGUGUAAUUUUAUAAACUGAUAAAUUACAUUAACUUUUUAUUUCGAAUUGAUGUAUUUUUAUUUGUCUAACUUGAAAGCCCCAUGUAGCUAUAUAAAGAAAUAAAUAUAUAAAUAUACUCAUUACUAAACAUUUGAUAUUUAUUAGCCUUAGUUUCUAUUUUUUCUACC